AACGCGGACUUAUCCUGUCCAACCAAGGCAGGGGAAAUCUCACAGACAGCAGUAGGACACAGCCUGUACACCAAGCUCGGGAGGAGCUGGGCAGACUCCGUUUACAGAAGAGUGAAGAGGAAAUCAGAAUAUUCUCAGAUGAAGAAAAGCAGAGAAUUUGUCAUUGGGAGACCUGCCCUAAAAGAAUGGCCCUAAUGGAAGUUCCUAAAAAAAGAGGAGACACUGAUAAAAAAAAAAAAAAAAAAAAAAAAAAAAACUUGAAGUAUUAUAAAAGUAUCAUAAAGAAAGAGGAGCAGGAGCAUAGUAAGCAAAAAUAUGGCUACUUGCCCUCAAAAGAAGGAUUAAGAGGGGGAGGAGGAAGAGCUGCAAGUGGUGCCGUGUCACCUCUGAAAGCACCACCCUGGAGGCCCCGUGAUUUAUAAGGACAGUAGUUAAUAGUUUCUGUCAUCAGAGAGGUCAGUGUGUUCUGUUCCCAUAUUGUUCAGUUCAAUAGGCCUAUUACUUGGAAAUCAAGACGCAUUAUACCUAUGAUUACAAACGUCUGGAGACGAUGACAUUCUAGAUAACUCUCCAACCACAGAGUACAAG
rnacentral:lncRNA from 1 species